GAUGAACGCUGGCGGCGUGCCUAAUACAUGCAAGUCGAACGCUGGAGAUCUAGCUUGCUAGAUCGAAGGAGUGGCGAACGGGUGAGUAAUACAUAAGCAACCUACCCACGAAGACUGGGAUAAUCUCUGGAAACGGGGACUAAUACCGGAUAGGUAAUCGGAAGGCAUCUUCUGGUUAUUAAAGGUUAAAACCACUGGUGGAUGGGCUUAUGGCGCAUUAGUUAGUUGGUGAGGUAACGGCCCACCAAGACGAUGAUGCGUAGCCGGCCUGAGAGGGUGAACGGCCACAUUGGGACUGAGACACGGCCCAGACUCCUACGGGAGGCAGCAGUAGGGAAUUUUCGGCAAUGGGGGCAACCCUGACCGAGCAACGCCGCGUGAGUGAAGACGGCCUUCGGGUUGUAAAGCUCUGUUGUAAGGGAAGAACGGUAGAUAGAGAAUAUCUAAGUGACGGUACCUUACCAGAAAGCCACGGCUAACUACGUG
rnacentral:rRNA from 1 species